CCUUACCGACUAGUACAGAGCGACUCUACCGGUAGGGGCAGCAGUGGGGAAUAUUGCACAAUGGGCGCAAGCCUGAUGCAGCCAUGCCGCGUGUAUGAAGAAGGCCUUCGGGUUGUAAAGUACUUUCAGCAGUGAGGAAGGUGGGUAUGUUAAUAGCAUACUCAUUUGACGUUAGCUGCAGAAGAAGCACCGGCUAACUCCGUGCCAGCAGCCGCGGUAAUACGGAGGGUGCGAGCGUUUAAUCGGAAUUACUGGGCGUAAAGCGCAUGCAGGUGGUUUGUUAAGUCAGAUGUGAAAGCCCGGGGCUCAACCUCGGAAUUGCAUUUGAAACUGGCAAACUAGAGUACUGUAGAGGGGGUAGAAUUUCAGGUGUAGCGGUGAAAUGCGUAGAGAUCUGAAGGAAUACCGGUGGCGAAGGCGGCCCCCUGGACAGAUACUGACACUCAGAUGCGAAAGCGUGGGGAGCAAACAGGAUUAGAUACCCUGGUAG
rnacentral:rRNA from 1 species